CACGUAGGCACCAAGCGUUGUCCGGAUUUAUUGGGCGUAAAGAGCUUGUAGGCGGUUCGGUAAGUCGGGUGUGAAACCUCUGGGCUCAACUCAGAGACGCCACCCGAUACUGCUGUGACUAGAGUGCGGUAGGGGAGCGGGGAAUUCCUGGUGUAGCGGUGAAAUGCGCAGAUAUCAGGAGGAACACCAGUGGCGAAGGCGCCGCUCUGGGCCGUAACUGACGCUGAGAAGCGAAAGCGUGGGGAGCAAACAGG
rnacentral:rRNA from 1 species